CUCUUGAGAGCGGCGGACGGGUGAGUAAUGCCUAGGAAUCUGCCUGGUAGUGGGGGAUAACGUUCGGAAACGGACGCUAAUACCGCAUACGUCCUACGGGAGAAAGCAGGGGACCUUCGGGCCUUGCGCUAUCAGAUGAGCCUAGGUCGGAUUAGCUAGUUGGUGAGGUAAUGGCUCACCAAGGCGACGAUCCGUAACUGGUCUGAGAGGAUGAUCAGUCACACUGGAACUGAGACACGGUCGAGACUCCUACGGGAGGCAGCAGUGGGGAAUAUUGGACAAUGGGCGAAAGCCUGAUCCAGCCAUGCCGCGUGUGUGAAGAAGGUCUUCGGAUUGUAAAGCACUUUAAGUUGGGAGGAAGGGUUGUAGAUUAAUACUCUGCAAUUUUGACGUUACCGACAGAAUAAGCACCGGCUAACUCUGUGCCAGCAGCCGCGGUAGUACAGAGGGUGCAAGCGUUAAUCGGAAUUACUGGGCGUAAAGCGCGCGUAGGUGGUUUGUUAAGUUGGAUGUGACAUCCCCGAGCUCAACCUGGGAACUACAUUCAAAACUGACUGACUAGAGUAUGGUAGAGGGUGGUGGAAUUUCCUGUGUAGCGGUGAAAUGCGUAGAUAUAGGAAGGAACACCAGUGGCGAAGGCGACCACCUGGACUAAUACUGACACUGAGGUGCGAAAGCGUGGGGAGCAAACAGGAUUAGAUACCCUGGUAGUCCACGCCGUAAACGAUGUCAACUAGCCGUUGGAAGCCUUGAGCUUUUAGUGGCGCAGCUAACGCAUUAAGUUGACCGCCUGGGGAGUACGGCCGCAAGGUUUAAAACUCAAUGAAUUGACGGGGGCCCGCACAAGCGGUGGAGCAUGUGGU
rnacentral:rRNA from 1 species